GAUUGCACGUAUCGAAGGAGAAGUCGUGUUUCAGAGCGGUUCAGUAGAAUAUAUUCUACGUUAAAAAUAUAUUUUCCUUUUAAAAUCAAAUAAAUAUUUUAUUCAAAUAUUAAAGGUGUGACGUUUAAUUGAAUAAUUAUUUAAUUUAAGAUUCAUUUUAUUUUAUUUAGUAAUUAAAUAAAUAUUUUUGUUUGGGAUUAAAAAUUUGGGAAUUAAUCUUUAAUUGGGUUAAACAUCAUAAUAUAUAUAUUAAGGAGAAGAGUCUAACAGUUAGGGAAAAAUUAUGUUUUGAUGCAUAUCGCUAAACGGCGCAUCUGAGUCUGGGGAGACCAUUUUGGGAAAGAUCCUGAGGCAGCAAUUUAGAGAGGAGACAGCGAUUUAGAGAGGGGGGAACAUCAAUACCUUGAUAUCUCAAUCGAUAAGGUAAGGGGGGAGAUUGCUUACUAUAUGGUGGGUUUUAGGCAGUAGAAUGAUGAGGGUUCUCUUACACUCUCAUCAACGUCAUGUUAUUGUUAUUUUUAUCUCUAUGAAAUGUUGGUCUGACCAUAUGGGGUUUGGACCAACCCCUUUGGUUUUUGGUUUUAUAGAAUAUGUUUUAUAUUAAAAUUUUGGUUUUAGGAGUCGAUCAUUGUUACAAUCUGUGCCCAAAUGGGAUAAUCCCAUUUGGUCACUUUUGGUGAUCAUAUGAUUAUCGAUAUGAUUUUUGUAUAGAUAAAAUGGUUUUUGGUGAUUUGUUAAUAAAAUUAAAUAUUGAUGUUAAACCACAGUAUGAUAUGAAAUUGCAUGUUGGUGAUAAACCCUUUUGGUCAAUUAUAUAUGAUAAUAUCUCAGAAGUGUUUAUAGAGAUAAUCUCAUUUGGUCACUCUUUGUGUUUUUUUAUGGUUCUGUUAACCGUAACCCCUUUUGGGGGAAAAUCUAAAAACUCUAAAAUUUGAGAAUUUGUGAUUGGGAAUGGUAUGAUGUAAGAAUUCUACAUUAGGAGGGCUGAUUGCACGUAUCGAAGGAGAAGUCGUGUUUCAGAGCGGUUUAGUAGAAUAUAUUCUACGUUAAAAAUAUAUUUUCCUUUUAAAAUCAAAUAAAUAUUUUAUUUAAAUAUUAAAGGUGUGACGCUUAAUUGAAUAACUAUUUAAUUUAAGAUUCAUUUUAUUUUAUUUAGUAAUUAAAUAAAUAUUACGUUUGGGAUUAAAUAUUUGGGAAUUAAUCUUUAAUUGGGUUAAACAUCAUAAUAUAUAUCUUAAGGAGAGUCUAACAGUUAGGGAAAAAA
rnacentral:lncRNA from 1 species